GCCAGAUAUUUGGAUGCGUCAGACGUUAAAUAUGUUGUCGAAUACGUCUUAUUCUGGAGUGAAUCAGGUGUGUACAGCUGCACACGGAACAAUGGAUGACCUGAAAUGACAGCAGCAUGGAUACAUGAGCCAACAGAUGAUACGCUGUCCUCCUUCCAACACCCUCGCAAGUAGCAUAUUUCUCUCCCCGGAGCGAGUAACUCUGUCUCCUGCCUGUGUCCACACACUCCUGUCGCCUCCACCCUCCACCUCCCUCCACCUCCCUCUCCCCCCCCAACAACACAACCCAGGGACGAGCAUGGCCUGCAGCUUCGAUGGCCCUCCGUGGAACAAAAACACACGCUGCCUCCUCAAAAGCCUCCUUUAUCCGCGACGAACAAAAAGACGGCUUCACCUCCGCACUGUUCCCACCAUUAGGCCCUGGCCUCCUCGUCCCCCUCCUGCUCACAGCCCCACUGGGUCCUUUCAGCGCGGGGCAGCGGGGGUGUGAGCUACGCCCUUUAUGUUCGCAUGUGUCCGUGCUGGUUUACUCUGUCAGACUUUGCCCCCUUUCACAAAAGACGUGCAAAGAGAUUGACCAGCAGCUUUUGACGCUGCCACCCCUCCCCUCCCCCCAAUUCAGAUAUGAAAAACACACCUGCACCUUUAUGUGUGCGGGGUUCACAGUUAACGCUGGAGGGGCAGUCUGUUCCUCGCUGACUCUGGGGGGAGGAAAAGUUUGGAAUUACGCCUGAAUCGUGGUUGAAAUGGGGACAAUCUGCCUCGAAUAUGUCGUCUGACCGGGCUCGAACCCCCCCCGACCACCAGGACUCGUGGAAAACAUUUUUUUUUCUUCUUUUUUCUCCACCUCUCUACGUGUCACAAUGUUUUGAUAUCAUGAGCAAAUUAUAUGUUCUCUUGUCCAACAUAUGGGAGCACCACUCAAUCAACGGGAUCUAACGACGCGGUGGGCAAAUUUGCAUUGCGUGAAUACAAAGUGGGUCAUUUGGAAGCGUUGUUGGCAUGUCGGCCUCUGUCGUAAAAAAAAAAAA